CCUAAGUGACUCUACUCAAGCAUGACCCAACCCGAACCCGACCUGCAUAGGUAACGACAUUAAACCAAAUUUACCCAACCCAAGUUGACCUGACUCAUUCUCACCCAACCUAAACCUGACCCUUUUACCCGAAUUAACAGCUCUACCAUAGACUCUAAAUAUGGUAUGCGCAUUGUUUCGUAUUUUUGUAAUCUAAAUACGGUCUGCGUACCGUUAAAUAUUUUUGUAAUUUAUUUUAUUUUAUUUAAGUAGUAGAUAUAAUAGAAUAGUAUUACAGGUUGCAGUUGAUCCAAGAAGCCAAUGGAGUGAAGGCCCAAAGGAGCUAGACGGAUGAGAUCCAUGAAGAUGAAUAGCUUUAACGACAACAUUAAUUUUCCAACCAAACUGAAAACAAGGCUUAAUCUCAGAAACUUCAGGGAUUGGGAAGAAGAGCUAAGAAAUGUUCUUAGGAGCCAUAGACUUGAGGCUCGAUUUUACGUUCCCAUUUAGAGCAGAUUCACAAUGGGUUUCACUCCUGAUAAGCAUUCUAAAGAUGUUUCGGAUGCAGAGAAAAUCAAGGAACUCAUAUUGGCAUCUAUUCCAACUUGUCGGAAAAGAAGGUUCAAGGACUAUAAGUUGACCAAUCUGCACAAUUGUCUUCGUGCCAUCUGUCGAGGUAGCAUUGGGCAUUAGGAAGCGGAGGCAUCAACGAUGAGAAUGUAAGAGAGAUCGUUAACUCAAUCCCUCCAAUGUACUACUCCUGGACUGAUAAUGUAAGGUAUGAGACUUACAAUAUUCAUUGUAAGAUAAUGGCUAAAAAACUCAUUCCUGGUCAGUCAGUUAGAGACCAUGUGAAGGAACUGAUUGAUUCAUUCAAUCGGAUGAAUAUCUUAGGAUGACCAUUUGAUGAUGACUUCGCUCAUGACACUAUUCUGUUCUCACUCCAUGAUGGAUUUAAUCUAGUCAAGCUUAUUCAUGAUGAUGAAGGCUCGACAGUGACACUAGUCAACCUUUUGAUCAACCAUACAGAGGAGUACUUGAAGAAGGAGGGAAGCCAAUGCUUCUAUUGCGAUAGGUGGUCUUGCCACACGCUAGGGUGUCCCCAUUACACGCAAAUGAAAACGAAAGGGCUUGACAGAGUGUAGGAAGUUAGCUAAAGGGGAAGUCACACUUUAAGUAUGAAAUGGAGCAAAAGUUGCUGCACUUGCUAUUGGAAACUAUCAUUUGAUACUUCCGUCUGGUCUUAUUUUGGUGCUUAACAACUGUUAUUAUGUCCCUACUAUUACCAAGAACAUUAUUUCAGUUCCUGUUUUAGAUACUGAAGGUUUUUCUAUUGAAAUAAGAGACAAGAGCUGUUUUAUUUCAAAAGAAAAUAUGUUAUAUGCUAACGCAAA